CUACGCACACUGGCCCCGUAGCCGAAUUGGCCGCAGAAAUGUAGUCUGGCUCUGUCGCGCGAAUACGCAAGAGCGAUAGAGAUAGAUAGCUACGAAAGAGAUAUAGUGAGCGUUUGUGCAUUCGCUUGACAAACACUUACUAUAACAUCGUAGCUAGUUAUAGUAUGAAUUUUCUGAGAUGCACUC